UCUGUGAAACCGUCACUAAAUUAUUAUUUCAAUUUUGAACAAAUAGUAUAUUGUAAUGAUUGCAAAAGUAAUAAUGUUACAUAUUAGAGUAUAAUAUCAAUAUUAAAACCUAUCAACUUGAAAUAUUGAACUUUCUUCUUUAGCACAUAUUAAGUAACUUCAUUAACCUAAAGAAAAGAUUUUAUAAAAGAAGAACGCAAAUCAAAUAUGUACAAUCACCCGGCAUGUCUUUUUGCUUUGUAAUGUUGCUCAACAAUUCUGGAAUAACAACCUUCUCCGCUGAGAUAUUUUCUUCCCUUUUGCUCUAUGGCACAUUUGGCUCAAUAGGAAUCACAAUGUCUUUAGACAGGACCACAAAAGAAUCUCUCCCUAUUAGGUUGUUAUUGACAAAGUCUUAGAAUACACCUACACUUCCAACUCUAUCCACAACACUACUAUAACUCAUAGUAUCUACAUCAAAUGGUUGCCCCCUAUGCCUCAAACUCUUCAAGCUUAACAUUGACGGGUCCUAUCAGGACCAUAACAAUUCUGGAGGUAUUGGUGGGGUAAUUAGGGAUCAUCUUGGUAACUGGAUUCUGGCAUUUUAUAUGAAUGUAUCUAUAGCUAAUAAUCCAAUCUGCAUGGAACUCCUUGCACUUCUCAAAGGCAAGGAAGUUGCUCACAGUAGGAAGAUCACGAUUGCUGAAAUUGAAACGGACUCCACAAAGGUAUUGGUUGAAAAAAGUGGGGAAUCCAGUACUCCGACAUAAUUUCAGGGAAGGAAACCAAGCUGCUCAUGUUUUGGCAAAGGAAGAAAGCAUGUACUCACCCAGUAACCAACUAAUUGUUUUGAACUCUGCUCCGGCAUGGGUGCUAUCUAUAUAUUAGAUGAUGGGAAUGGAAAAUGUAGUAUUAAGAGUAUCUCCUCUUCUCUGUUUGUAAUAAUCUAGUAACUCUAGCUAAUCUCCUCUUCAGUUUGUAAUAAUCUAGAAACUCUAGCUAAUCUUGUCAUCAACUCGUAUGUACCCGGCUAGUUUAUGAGUAAAAUCUCGUUUAUAAAAAAAAAAAAAAAAAA